CUCCCCUCUGUGCUGCUUCGACAAAUGAGGAAGUACUAGCAUGAGCAGCAAUGGGAAGCUAGGAUUGGCUGAGAGUGUCAGCUGUCUGUUUUUAGCUCCAACUAAUGGUAUGAAGGGUAUGACUUCAAGGAAGUGUGUAAUCUCUGCCUUGGCCACACCUCCAGAAGAGGCCGGACUAUGGGUGGCCUUGAUCCCUUAUUUAGUGUUAAACUGCUCUAAAAUGGUUUAACAUUGUAUGGAGAGACAGUGCCAGGAGAUUCCAGGCAUCAGAACCAAUUCAAAGCGAUGAAAUGAUUAUAGUGAGUACAGUGUCCCUUUAAGAAAUACAGCAUGUCAGAUGAGUUGAAAUAGGAAAUAGUUCAGGGAUAUAUAUAUUCUAUAACAGUGUUUUUUUUACUUUUUACAGAGAAGUACCCCUGCAGGUCUAAAAAAAAUUAAUUCAAAUGAAAUGUGUAGAAAUUGAUAUUUAAAGGCAUAGUAGAGGCAUCAAAACAUAUUUA